rnacentral:rRNA from 1 species
GGGCGUAAAGAGCUCGUAGGCGGUUUGUCGCGUCUGCCGUGAAAGUCCGGGGCUCAACUCGGGAUCUGCGGUGGGUACGGGCAGACUAGAGUGAUGUAGGGGAGACUGGAAUUCCUGGUGUAGCGGUGAAAUGCGCAGAUAUCAGGAGGAACACCGAUGGCGAAGGCAGGUCUCUGGGCAUUAACUGACGCUGAGGAGCGAAAGCAUGGGGAGCGAACAGGAUUAGAUACCCUGGUAGUCCAUGCCGUAAACGUUGGGCACUAGGUGUGGGGGACAUUCCACGUUUUCCGCGCCGUAGCUAACGCAUUAAGUGCCCCGCCUGGGGAGUACGGCCGCAAGGCUAAAACUCAAAGGAAUUGACGGGGGCCCGCACAAGCGGCGGAGCAUGCGGAUUAAUUCGAUGCAACGCGAAGAACCUUACCAAGGCUUGACAUGAACCGGAAAGACCUGGAAACAGGUGCCCCGCUUGCGGUCGGUUUACAGGUGGUGCAUGGUUGUCGUCAGCUCGUGUCGUGAGAUGUUGGGUUAAGUCCCGCAACGAGCGCAACCCUCGUUCUAUGUUGCCAGCACGUGAUGGUGGGGACUCAUAGGAGACUGCCGGGGUCAACUCGGAGGAAGGUGGGGACGACGUCAAAUCAUCAUGCCCCUUAUGUCUUGGGCUUCACGCAUGCUACAAUGGCCGGUACAAAGGGUUGCGAUACUGUGAGGUGGAGCUAAUCCCAAAAAGCCGGUCUCAGUUCGGAUUGGGGUCUGCAACUCGACCCCAUGAAGUCGGAGUCGCUAGUAAUCGCAGAUCAGCAACGCUGCGGUGAAUACGUUCCCGGGCCUUGUACACACCGCCCGUCAAGUCACGAAAGUUGGUAACACCCGAAGUCUCGGUGGCCUACCCCCUUGGGGAUCGAGCUCCAGUAGAGUU